UACGAUAUGGUGUAGUGGCCAACAUGAUGCCCUCUCAAAUGCUCAGUGGUUAGGCAUAGCCCCGAGUUAGAUUCUCGGUUUCGGAA